rfam:Erinaceus europaeus unplaced genomic scaffold scaffold00118, whole genome shotgun sequence
GGGGGGGGAGAUCUGGCUGCGACAUUUAUGACAUUGAUGACCAGGAUUGAUUCAGCUAAUCUGGCUGUCUAGGCAAGUGACCCUUCCUCUCUCAUUGCUCCAUGUGCAUCCCUCCCGAAGCUGCUUGCUCCAUCAAAGAGAAAUACCUUUCUCAAAUAGAUAUGGACCAGUCUUUGAUCAAGACUAUAGGAGUAACUUCACUCCCCUGCUAGAACCUCCAAACAAGAAAUAGAGUAUACACCCAAUACUGGAAUGCAAAAUGACCAAAACCAAGGCACAUCACUAUAAAACUAUCAAG